GACGAACGCUGGCGGCGUGCCUAAUACAUGCAAGUCGAGCGGACUGAAUGGGAGCUUGCUCUUGUUCGGUCAGCGGCGGACGGGUGAGUAACACGUGGGCAACCUGCCCGCAAGACCGGGAUAACUCCGGGAAACCGGAGCUAAUACCGGAUAACACCGAAGACCGCAUGGUCUUUGGUUGAAAGGCGGCGCGAGCUGCCACUUGCGGAUGGGCCCGCGGCGCAUUAGCUAGUUGGUGAGGUAACGGCUCACCAAGGCGACGAUGCGUAGCCGGCCUGAGAGGGUGACCGGCCACACUGGGACUGAGACACGGCCCAGACUCCUACGGGAGGCAGCAGUAGGGAAUCUUCCGCAAUGGGCGAAAGCCUGACGGAGCGACGCCGCGUGAGCGAAGAAGGCCUUCGGGUCGUAAAGCUCUGUUGUGAGGGACGAAGGAGCGCCGUUUGAAGAAGGCGGCGCGGUGACGGUACCUCACGAGGAAGCCCCGGCUAACUACGUG
rnacentral:rRNA from 1 species